rnacentral:rRNA from 1 species
GACGAACGCUGGCGGCGUGCUUAACACAUGCAAGUCGAACGGAAAGGCCCUGCUUUUGUGGGGUGCUCGAGUGGCGAACGGGUGAGUAACACGUGAGUAACCUGCCCUUGACUUUGGGAUAACUUCAGGAAACUGGGGCUAAUACCGGAUAGGAGCUCCUGCUGCAUGGUGGGGGUUGGAAAGUUUCGGCGGUUGGGGAUGGACUCGCGGCUUAUCAGCUUGUUGGUGGGGUAGUGGCUUACCAAGGCUUUGACGGGUAGCCGGCCUGAGAGGGUGACCGGCCACAGUGGGACAGGGAUACGGCCCGGACUCCUACGGGAGGCAGCAGUGGGGAAUAUUGCACAAUGGGCGGAAGCCUGAUGCAGCAACGCCGCGUGCGGGAUGACGGCCUUCGGGUUGUAAACCGCUUUCGCCUGUGACGAAGCGUGAGGGACGGGAAUGGGUAAAGAAGCACCGGCUAACUACG